UUGUAAUGUUUGGAGAGGACAAGAUGGCGCCGGUUUAAUAUUUACUUCGUGUCAUCAGAGGGGAUUUUUGUUCACAAAUAACCGCUUAUUUUACGUUAUAGCGACUGGUUAGUUUUGGAAAUUAGAACUCAAUGGACAAGGAAAACGAUUCUGUAGUAAAAAGAAAAAAGGCGUGUCAAGUUAUUGACUUGUGAUGUUAAUAUUUGUUGUGAAAGACGGCCGGAAAUUUCGCUACAUCGCUGUACUGGUUUAUAAACAAUUUCACUGGAAAUUCGACCAUGGAUAAAGAGAGAAUGAAAGAACAGCCUGUCUUAACGGUAAGUUUUUAAAGGGUUUUCAAUUUUUGGUAAUGUUUUUAGUUUAAAGCUUUCUCUCGAAACUAUACUUCGGUAGAGACCGUAGAGUCAGUGGACAAUUUUGGCUAACGUUGUUUUCUACAUUCGUUGCUACCCAAUUGACAACAUUAGGUAAAUCACGUGCCUAUAUUAAGUAGUUUUUCUUUGUUAGAAUUUAAUAUACGACAUUGGAACACCAUUUUACAUUUGUUUUAAAAUUUAAAGGGCUGUAAAAGUCCAUUCUGCGCAUCAUUCUGCUCUGCUGCCACAGAGCCCAAGCGUUGGUCUGUGUUGUAUGUUUUUCAGUUUAUUUAUUUUAGUAUCUUUAGGCCACAUAAAAUAAAUUCCUUGAUUCUCAUCACCGCCCGACUGUAUUUUAAGAGCUGCGUGAAAUUUUUUAAAAUUUUGUUGUACAAUAUAAAUGAACCGCCCGACAAAAUAUUUCAAGACAUUUAAGUUUUUUAUAUUUAAAAUUUUGUUUUUAGUGCCAUUUUAAACUGCCAAUGGACCUUUCCCCUUAUAACUAAAAUUUCGAUCUAGGCAAAAAUUUCACCACAGCUUGAAAGAGCAUCACAAAAUUAGUAAUAUUCCAAAGUUUUGUUGCAAAAUCUUGUAAAAUGCGGAUAAUAUAGCCUUGCGAAGUUUGCCGUUUUUCAGUCAUUUUGUAUUACAAACGGGAAAUUGACAUCCGAUUCGGGUGUUGGGCUGCAAUUUCCCGUUUGUAAUGCAAAAUGACUGAAAAUUGCAAACUUCGCAAUGCUCUAUUUUCCUCAUUUUACAACAUUUCGCAACGAAACUUUGGAAUAUUACUAAUUUUGUGAUGCUCUUUCAAGCUGUGAUGAAAUAUUUGUCUAGACUUGCCUAGAUCAAAAUUUUGGUUAUAAGGGGAAAGGUCUAUUUCUAACAAAUAGAACCUUGAAAGAAAUUUCAUUGCAUUUUAAUGGUACUUUGCAUUCAGUUCAAGGGUUCAGUCAUUGUUCGUGGAGAAAUAUGUUCAUUUUGGUUUGUGACACUUCACUUUGGAAAUCACAGAAAUAUUAAAUGUUAGGAAUUAUUUUUUUAUUUAUUGAUGAUAAAUUAUAUAAAUAUAAAAUAUAAACCUCCCGGCUCUUCGACGUUUUCAAAGUCUAGUGAUGAGAAUCGAGGAAUUUAUUUUAUGUGGCCUAAACUGAAAAACAUACAAAUACAAAUCAACCGAUAUGUUGUUAUUAUAUGUUUGACUAUAGAAAUAUAUAUAUAUAUAUAUAUAUUAUAUUAAGAUGAAAAUGUUCUAGAGUGUGUAUUAUAUAAUUUCCAUACCCAGCGCAUGCAGAAAGAUGUAUAAUUCACACUCUAGAACAUUUUCAUCUUAACAUAUUACAGAAAUAUUAAAUGUUAGCAAUUAUUUUUUUAUUUAUUGAUGAUAAAUUAUAUAAAUAUAAAAUAUAAACCUCCCGGCUCUUCGACGUUUUCAAAGUCUAGUGAUGAGAAUCAAGGAAUUUAUUUUAUGUGGCCUAAACUGAAAAACAUACAAAUACAAAUCAACCGAUAUGUUGUUAUUAUAUGUUUGACUAUAGAAAUAUAUAUAUAUAUAUAUAUAUAUAUAUAUAUAUAUAUAUAUAUAUAUAUAUAUAUAUAUAUAUAUAUUAAGAUGAAAAUGUUCUAGAGUGUGUAUUAUAUAAUUUCCAUACCCAGCGCAUGCAGAAAGAUGUAUAAUUCACACUCUAGAACAUUUUCAUCUUAACAUAUUACAGAGGUUACAAUUACACAAUUAACAUACUAGAACAUUUUCAUCUUAACAUAUUACAGUCUACAGAGGUUACAAUUACACAAUUAACAUAUAUAUAUAUAUAUAUAUAUAUAUAUAUAUAUAUAUAUAUAUAUACACACAAGACAAGUAUGUAUGCCAUUCCGGCGCAUCGUUAAGUAAAAUUAAAUGCUAGAACAAAAUGCAAAUUGAGUGAAUUUGCAAUCGGAUUUUGUCACAGCAAAAAAAUGUAUGUUACAAUUUUUUUGUGAUCGGACCAAUGUCCGAUCAAAAUUACUUUUGCUUGGACAUUUGCCAAAUUUAGUCGGACGUUGUCCAAUGUCCGACAGUAAUUUGCAGCCCUGAAAUAACAUUGCCCAAAGGUUUUACCCAAAAUUCCAAAGGGAUUUUACAACUUUAGAAAGUGGAAAUAUUUCCAGAUACAUGGGCCAUCAUUCCAAUACCAAAUUUAUACUGGUUUAUACUUAACAAACAUAAAACAUUUUUUUCUGUAUUGAUAUACAUUACAGUUACAUCAACACAUGUGGAAAUUGGGAAAACGAGAAAUUGUGUGGAAAUAUGACGCCCGGAGUGUUUUCAAACAAUUUCGAGUUUUCCCAAUUUCCACGAGUUAUAUCAACACAGCUCUUAGCCAAUUAGCUUUCAGAAUUUACAAAUGCUGUAUUAUAAUAUAGUUUAUUUUGUCUAAAAAUACCCUCUGAGAAAGUUCACAAGCUAACCUCUUUGAAAUUUGAGGUCCUUAACGUGUCUAGAAAAACAAAUGCCAUACCAUCACAAUAUUUUAUAAUAGAUAUGAGUGGAUCGUUUUAUUUAUAUAUGUGACCACUAUAUAUUUAGAUUUUCUGCAUUUGUAUUUCAGCGAGUGCCGGUUGCAUGUUUGUCUAGGGCGUUGUGUGCAAUCUAACAUGCUGUAACAUUGAUCCUGUAAUGGCCAAUGUUUUGUUUUUUGUUCUCAUUUUUUUCCUUUACGAUUUUUCCUAAGAUUGCCUUUAUACAAUAUUUUUCGGUUAGGUUAGAGUUAGGGUCACGUUUCUUUUUAAGAUAGUUAAUAAUUUGCACACCAAUUUGAAUUGUAUUUAUUAUGCUAAAUGCUGAGCCUCUGACAUGAUCUGAUAUGAUCACAGACGGGGGUCACAGAAAGCCUGGGAUAAACUGACUACCCCUGUUCGCAGGAUACGUGCGUGGGAGACACGCACAAUUUGUAAUAACAGGCAGCAAGAUACACUGUAUAAGUAAGUGACAAGGGAUGAAACUCUUAAAGUUUAUCAUAUUAUGAAUGCCCUGACUUGAGUGGGCCAAUAAUUAUGCAAUGAGUGACAUGUAAAAUGAAUGCUGUCAACCUUUGGUCCAGGGAUGGAUUUACUGGAGGGGGGGGGUGCGCACCUCCCCUAGCCCUGGCCAGGGGGGGUUCUAUUUUUCAUGAUAAAGCAAAAAAUUAUCAGAGACAAAAUGAGAUUCAGUAAUUUGAGUAAUAACAUGAUGAUAAGCGAACUGUGAACAACAAUUACAAUUCAAAUACUGUAGCUAGACUUUACAGUAGUUAAGCAAGUUGAUGGAUGUGUAAAGCCACUGGAAAGCAAUUGCAAUGUACUUGUCUGGAAAAUUUUUUUUCCCUAAAAAGUUGUUGAUGGGUUUCAAUGUUAAAUUAAAAACCAACUACAGUACAUUGGGUCCAACUACAUUGGUCGCUAUUAAAAACUAUAGCAAUUUAUAAGACUUUAGGGCUUUUAUUUCACAAAAGUUUCAAUGGCUAUUUACUUUAGCCUUAGACAUAUCAUGUAGCCAUAUUUCAAGCGAAAAUUCGUUUUAACAAGCACAUGCAGCUUCAAAAUAAAACAUUGCCAUACAAGACAAGGGUCUUGUUUCCUAUUUUCAGCGGGAAAUGUUACAUGCAUAUCCUGCAAACAGGCUGUCAGGUUUGAAAGGCGCUGCUUUUAUAUAAGCUAAUAAUAGAUGCUUGUGAUGUUACUCUGAGUGUGUAUCCACACCGGGCAAGCUUGAAAAAUAUGCCUGGCCCCGGUGGGCUAGUUGUAGGUUCAAUUCCCACUGGGGCCAGGCAUAUUUUUCAAGCUUGCCUGGUGUGGAUACACACUCAGAUUAACAUCACAAGCAUCAUAUUUACCUGAGUACACUAUACCAACACAUAAAAAUCAUGAUUAUUAGAUUACAUUGAUAUCAAAGGAACUAGACUCAGUUCCGAAAUAUCACAUACUCAAACCGACCUGACCGCAUAGCUCAGUUGGCAUACCAUUGGGCUAGUAUUCCAAUUCAAAGGUCGUAGGUUCGAUUCCCACCGGGGCCAAGCAUAUUUUUCAAGCUUGCCUGGUGUGGAUACACACUCAGAGUAACAUCACAAGCAUCAUAUUGGGUCGUUCCAGAAAAGAUCCACACUCCCCCCACAGAGGAAAUUUCUGCUGUCCGGAGGGGGAGGGGAGAAAAAAUUGUUCUGAUCAUAGGGUUAACUUCCAGAUUCCUCCAUGGGGGUGGUAUGGAUGUUUUCUGGAAUGCCCUAUUCACCUGAGUACACUACACCAACACAGAAAAAUCAUGAUUAUUAGAUUACAUUGAUAUCAAAGGAACUAGACUCAGUUGCAAAAUAUCCAUAGACUGUUUUGUGGGGUGCACAGGGUGCCUAACCCCCCCCCCCAAUAUUAGCUAUAACACCCCCCCACCCCCCCAACAAGUCAAGCUGUUGCUUCAAGUCAAUCCGUGCAAAACCUCUUUUUAGAAACUUUUUAACUGAAUUGUCUUUCUAUGGAACAAUCUCUCUCCAAUCAUUCGUAACAGUUCGUCUGUUUCAUCCUUUAACUUACAGCUCCAUUCUUACUGCUCUUCUCAAUUAGACUCUUCUUUCGAUGUUAACAGAUUGCGCACUUGGAAAACCAACUGCUCCAAAUGCCGUUCUUUCAACUUAAGCUGUUGCUCAUGAUCUAAACUAUUAUUUUUUAUAUAGUUAUGUAAAUAGUGUUCUAGUCCUUGUCUUUAAUGUUUGUCUACUUAUUGUAUUGUAUCAGGUUGGUCUUCACAUGGGACUCAUGUCCUGUUGACCAUACCUUCAAUAAUUGUUAUAUUUUUUGUAUGAUUGUAAAGUUAAUAAAUAAAUAAAUUUGGGAAGCGAUUUAUUGCUAUUCGUAGAUUCCUGUACGCGUAGCGUACCUAUUUUUUCCUCUUGGCGAGGAGAGAAAAGACCCUGGUAGAUGCUGGUCACAUAAUCUGCUAAACUCUAGCAGAUUAUUAAUUAGAAAUUCAAGAUGAGGUCAAUAAGUAUUUGAUUUUUGGAUGAUUUUUACAUUUAUAACCCUAUAAGUGGCAAUGUGUCCCGGUGUGCCCUACUGUCUAAUUUAUUAAUGCCAGACAUGUGCCCUAUGCACCCCGAUGUGCCCUAUGCACCCUGAUGUGCGCAAUGUACUGUCUAAUGCCAGAUGAUUUUACUUGUCAAGUUCCCCCUCCCAAGUGAAGAGGAAAGAUCCUAGGUACAGAUGUUGAGUUACCUGCCUUGGGCAAAGAGAUUAAAAAUUUAGGGGUGCACCAGAACAUUUUUAAAGUUCCGGCCAGAACCGGAUUUGGCCAGAACUGGAAAAAAGUUCUGGCUGGAAGUUCUGGCCGGAAAUGAUUUAUUAGCCAUAUAUGGAGGGUAUUACAUGGCAGCGCGAAGAUAUGACUUUUUAUCUUUGAGUGGUGAAAACAAUAUUGGUGGAAAGUAAUUGUUUUGUGAGAGAAAUGGUUAUUGACAAUGUUCAGAAAGUUUGGAAUAGUUCAGGGCUUUUUUUCCAGGGCUGUAGUUAGAAUGCUAAUUAGGGGGGGGGGGGGUGCAUAUUCAUAUAUUCAUGUUCACAUACUGUAAAAACGAUCGAUUUCAAAAGAAAUCUGUCAGGCAGAACACAAAUAUAUAUUCAUGUAUAUUCAUACACCCCCAAUCAGUGUUAUACUAAGCUACGGCCCUUUCCUGUGCAAGGGUUCUUUGAAAAAUGUUUUAAAACAUGUUUUUAUCAGUCGAAAGUAGUUAUUUUGAUGAGAGAAAUGUUUAUCAACAAUUUUCAGAAAGUUCAGAAGAUUUUGUGGUUUGUUUUCAAUUUUUGGAAAAUUUCCUAGGGUUGCUUUGUUCCCCUUUGCAUUUUGCCGAAAAUAUAUAAUUUUUUUUUCGGUAGAUGGUAUAAAAUGUUUCUCGACAAUUUGCAGAAAAUUUGGAAUAGUUUGGGGAACGUUUUGAAUUUUUAAAAAAUUUACUGUGGUUCCACUUUUUAUGACCCUAAGGUUUUAUGACUCCUCCCCCUUCACUUUACCCAAAAAAAUUAAAACAUAUAUUAUUUUUAUUGGUCGAAACUAAUUGAGUAAUUGAAGAUGUUUUGGCGCUGACCAUGAUAGGUUUCUGUUGAUGCAUUGGCAUUCAUUUUGUAAAAUGCAAAUUUAGAAAUUAGAAAUUCUGAAUAAUAUUUUUGUAUGCCAAUACCGGUAAGAUUUAAAUUCCCUUAGGGAAUUAUUGGCAUAGAAAAUUAUAAUUCGGGAUUAUAAUAAUUUUGUAUGCUUCAUUCAAUAUAUUGACCAAUCAGGGAGAUUAUUUUGUGAAUACCCACAAUGCUGAACAGAAAUAGCAUUCCAGAGUAAAUUAUAUUCAAAUUUUUAUUUAAAUUUAGGGUGUGUUGCAGCUCUAUAUUCUGCCCGUUGCCUCGUGUAGUUUAGUCAAAGUCGUCGCCUAUUUGUGAACAGAAGUACUUCAAGGAUGAGGAAGGAUGAAGAUGCAACGUUUAAAUACAGCAAAGAAGCACAAACUCCGAAGUUAAAUACAUGAUUAAGGUAUGUUCUAUCAAUUUGAUGUGAAAUGUAACAAGUUAACUGUAUUUGGUCGAAGUCGCUUAAAUAUCGUUCGACGUCUUGUUCUGGAGUAAAGAUACUGAAUUAAACCUUAAGAUUUCGUGAAGUUUAGUUUAAAUUAGUAGAGAGAUAAGUGCAUAAAGUAUUCAGGGUAUUUUGGAGCUAAAUUUGUUUUAAAAUCUGUCAUUUUAGCGAAAACAAGAAAUGUUGAAUUUGAAUGUCGUCCACGUGGAACACAACGCGUUUUUUCUGGUCGCCCAGAUCGUUGCGAGGAGGCAUUGGGCAUUGUAAUCAAUGGAUGACAAUGUGUGUCGCUGGCAAACCUACACUCCCCACUGCGACAGGCAGUCAAGCAUUUUUAACCUGCACAUUUUUGUUUUUAUUUCCCGUAUUUUUAUUUUAUGUUCAUAAAUAUCAUGACUCAUGACUAAAAGCUGGAAGGAGUUGAGAUUCCCCACUUAACUGCAUGCCUUCUGAUCAUUUAUAGACUCCAUUUUACAUGCUACCAUUUUACCAGGAAGAAUUUUUGGAAUAUAUAGUCAUAUAGAGCCCAACUAUAUGUCUUUGGCUCUGGGAAUAAGUUCUUUGUAUAAAAAAAUAGGUACGCAUAGCAUGCAUAGGCAGUGGCAUUUCAACUUUAUUAUUUUUCCAAGGUCUCUGUGAGACUUUGAGUCAUUCAGCAUGAACAAGCAGUACAUGUAAAAAGAAAGGCGCCGCUUUUUGGGUGUACUGUUUGUCCAUGUUGAAUGGCUGGAAGUGUUGCAGGUAUCUUGGGAUAUCUAAUAAAGUUGUGAUGUUAUUUCAGUUCUGUUUCUAUAAAGGGCAGAGUGAAAAAUGGCCGUUAACAUUAAAAACUACAGUUGAUUAUAUUUAGGGAUGCCGGAGAAGGGGAGGGGUAUUGGGGAGGGGAGCAUAUUGCUUAGGCUUUCGAAAUAUAGACCGCAUAGUUAAUUGAUAUUUCAAAUUUAUUAAAACCUAAGAUUCAUUGCCUAUGUGCGUUUUAGUAACAAUGAAAGGCAAGUAUAAAGUGCCAUUCACAGUUUUGGGGUAUAAAGCCCCUUUACGCUGCGCUUACGCUCAAUUUUUGGUGCGCACUAUGUGCAUUAGUUUUACACAAGUAUAUAUAUAGUGUCGUUAAACUGCAUGCCAAAAAUUUCUGUUGACUGUUAGAAUGGUGGCUUGUAUGUAGGGAUAUCUUGCUAGGAUUUGCACAUUUAAAUAUUUACAAGUGCAUUAGGCCUCUUAGGUUUUAGUUUAAGACCAACAUGAGCGAGUGAGAUAAACUCGACUAGCUUAGGAUAAGGCAUCAAGCGUGAAAUCCACUCACUAGACCCCUCAGGAUCGGACCCCAAUUGACCUUUUUUCAAUACCAAAUGUGAAAUUACCCCAACCUUGCCCACAUCGUUGAAGAGUCAUGGUGGAUAUCUUGGGCAAAUGUGCAUUUUCUUGGUGGAUAUCUUGGGGAAUACAUUCAAUACCAUCAGGGAUAUCUUGGGCAAAUGUGCAAUAUACCUUGAGGGAUAUCUUGGGCAAAUGUGCAAUAUGGCAAAUGGGCAAAUAUCUUGGAAAAACUCGUACAAUUUAAACUAAAGAAGGGUGAUGUCUUAAGGUUAGUGGAUAUUUAUAAUAGCGAUAAAAUGGGGGUUCCCUGCGAAUAGGAACAAAGUAAAGGCCCACACAGACCAGACGCGAUUCGGCAACGCGACACAAAUUUUCAGUUUUCAAAAACAAAUAAAACUGUCAACG